rnacentral:lncRNA from 1 species
UAUACAAUCAAUAGCUUUGAUUGGACUUUUUGCAGUAACUCUAGCAUUGGAGUUUUGUAAUGCCUUUUUCUGCAAAUUAGUUACCAGUCAAAACUUAUCAGAAAGAACAAAAGGCAAAAUGAAAGAGAAACAAUCACUCAUUUGGAAAUUUAGAUGAAAAGCAAGUCCAAUCACAAAGAAACAAUCCUAUAGUGGCCUUUGUUUCUGAUUAGGUUUUCCAAGUAGUCAAGGGUAAGAGUUGGGGAAAUUUGUAACAUCUCCAACUAAGACCUCACUUCCUUUUGUUUUUGAAACAAAAGGGAAAAGCCCAUUAAAAGUAAAACCCAUUAAGUUAAAUUUAGGAUUCUUCUCUUUUCUAUGCAAAAAAAUAUACUAAAAUUUUACAAAAAUUCAAAACCCAAAAACCCUAGCCGUCAGACAUCUUUCUUCUUUUCUUUAUCUUUCUUUGUGCCAAGCCGUCACCUUGUUAGGUCGUUGCUCGUCGCUUUCCAGACCACUGCGGAUUGUCGCGAUUGUUCUCUUCUCCACUGUCUUCCGUUGUUGUUCAUCAGAUCUGAAAAAUAAGCAUUUAUUUUUCUUCUCUCUAUUCUUCUUCUCUCUAUUCUUCUUUUCUUAUUUUCUGUUGAGAAUGAGAGUACAUAUCUGAUUCGUGACAUCGAAUAAAGCCAAGGUGAGAACACGACUGUUAACUCUUUUCAUGUCUCGUAAUACUUUGGGGCGUUAUCCCUUAUAAAUACUCCCUCUGUUCCUAAAAGAUCUAUGUUUUGGAAAAAUAUUUUGUUUUAAAAAGAUGUAUAUUUUAUGUUUUCUAUGAGAAAAUUGCAAACUUUAAGAAAAUUAAUUGAUUUUAUUAGAUUACUAUUAGCUAAAAGUUGUUGAAAGUUGAAAAUUACAGAAAACGAUAAAUUUACUAUAGUGAUUUAAUGCAUUUUCUUAAUAUGUAUGAAAACACUAAAAAGUCUAUCUUUUAGAAAUGGAGGGAGUAUUGUCUAGGUUUGAUUGUUGAUCUUAUUGAUGUGAUGAAUUGUUAGAUCAAGUUGUUGACUUGUGUUGAAAUUAUGGAAAACAACUAGUUGUGUAAGGUUGUUAAAUGGUAAACCAGUUGUGUGUUGAGAAAGAAUGAGAUGAUAGAUGUGUGAUAAGAAUUACAAUAAUAUUAUUUGAGAAGUCAAUUUUUUAGAUAUCACAUUCACAUUAAUUCUUACGAUGGUUAAUUACAUAGAUACACUUAACAAGUUAAAAUAUUAUAUCUAAUUACCAUUAUUAAAAACUAUGUAAUAACUUAUGCCAAUUAAAUUUUUAUUUUUAUAUUUUUCCAAAUAAAAUAAAAUUAAAUAGUUUUAUUUAAUAAAAAGGAAAUAGUCAUAUAAUAAAAAAAUAUAUUUACAAAAAUGAAAGAAAAUAUAUUUUAUAUAAUGUGAUUUCGUAAAAAGAAAAGUUCACAUAAAAUAGUUUUGAUGUUAAAAAUAUAAUCAUCACUUUAAAACACAAUAUUAAAAAAAAUUGAAAUUAAUAAAAUAUUUUAUUUAUAUCAAUCUAUUUUCUCAGAUUUGAAAAAGUCAAUUAAAAUAAAAUAUCAUUGCUUAACUAUAAAUAUUUUAUAAUUGCUACUAUUGAAAUGUUUAUUCAUUUUUCAUAAUUUUUUUUAUUUUUUUUUUAUUUACAUUUUCAAUAUAAAUUUUAUCAAACUACAUAACUAAAUAUAUACAAACUUUAUCCAAUCCUAAUCUACCACUAAAACUGUUUGAAGGCUUCGUAUUUUUAUUUUGGUUUUUAAAAUUUUAUAUAUUUAUACAACAUAAUUUACCUAUAAUAAAAUACAUAAACCAAUAUGAAUUUUAUGGUUAAGAUUAUUUAAAAUAUUUUUUAAAUUUAUAUAUUAUUAUUCUAAAGUAUAAAAUUAUUUAGAAUUUACAACAAAAAAAACAUUUUAUAAAUAUUAAUAUAUGUUCAUAAGUUUUCAAAAUAAUAUCAGUAAUGUUUGUUAUAAAACAUCAUACUUAUCCUCAUUUCAGUUUUUCUUCUAUUUUUACAAAUCCACAAAUAUCAAUUAUAUAAAAUAAUUUACGAAAUUAUAUAUAUAUAUAUAUACAUACAUAUUUACGAUAAAAACUGAACUAGUGAAAUAAAUAAAAUUAAUCAAAUUUAGUUUAUAACUAGAAUCAAAAGUAAUGGUGCUUUCAUUUGAAGAAAUGUGUUUAACACAAUAUAACCUACAAAAUGAGUAAUUUAAACAAUCUAAAUUUUUAUGCACAAAUCAAAAGUCUAAAUGCAAAAAAAAAAAAAAAUUAAUUAAUCAAAAUUUAAAGCUAUUUCAGUACAAAAAUAAUAUUAUGGUUAAAGUUAGAGAAGUAAAUACGAUACAAUAUACCCAAAAAAUAAUCAAAUCGAUUAGAUAUUAUAUAUUUAAUUACAUAUCUAGAUAAAAUAAUAUAAUAUUAUUUAAAAUAAAUCAUACAUAUAAAUUACAAAAUAAUAAAAAUUAAAAAUUAGAUUAUGAAUUAUUUUAUAAUUUAUUUAUGAUGUAAGUAAGUGCAUGAUUUAUGUUUAAAUUGCGGGUUCAAAAGUAUUAAACCAAAUCUAGUUUUUUCUUCAUCUGAAUUCCUAAUUUUGACUUAAUCAAUAUCAUUAAAACAAUGUUUGAAUGCUGUGCCCAUGCAAACGACAGUCUGCAAUGAGCUAUAUGGUUUAUGAAUAGAACGCAUCAAUUCGCCACUUAAGCGGUGAUGCAGAAGAAGUACAUAAAUAGCUAUAUUUUUUUUGUUUAAUUUCUUUUGCAUGUUCCGUGACCAGUUCUGUAUUUCUCUACUGAUUAUUCGAUCCAUCAGUUUGUAUCUGACUUUCUCUGUAAAUAUUAUCAACAAAAAAAAAAGGUUUGCUCAGACGAUGGAAAGCGGUUUCUCGUUGGCGGAGAGAGAAGAAGUAGAAGAUAACAAAAAUGAGAAAUCUGCAGGGACAAUGAUGAAGAAAGUGAGUUACAUGGCUGCUCCAAUGGUGGCAGUUUAUCUUUCUCAGUAUCUCCUUCAAGUUAUCUCCAUGAUUAUGGCCGGUCACUUGGACGAGCUCUCUCUCUCCAGCGUCGCUAUUGCCACUUCUCUUACCAACGUCACUGGCUUCAGCCUCCUCGUAAGAUAUUCCUCUCUGUGUUCCUGCAUCUCUCUCACUCUUUCUCUCUCUCUAACUUGACUUCAGGGCUGGAUCUGGACAUAGUCCAGGGAAGCAUUGGCUUUGGUCCCUAAAAUUUUUUGUAUAGACAUAAGUUUUAAAGAAAUAUUUAUAGCCUUCAAAAAUCACAUAUCUGGCCUUGCUUGACUUCGAUCAUUAGGUAGGAUUUUCAGGUGCUUUAGAGACAUUGUGUGGUCAAGCUUUUGGAGCAGAGCAGUUUAGAAAGAUUGGUUCAUACACUUACAGCUCAAUGAUAUGUCUUGUCUUGAUUUGUUUCCCAAUCUCUCUUCUUUGGGUUUACAUGGACAAACUCUUGGAGCUUUUCCACCAAGAUCCUCUCAUCUCUGAGUUAGCUUGUAGAUACUCCAUCUGGCUCAUACCGGCUUUAUUCGGAUGCGCUCUUCUUCAGCCUAUGACUCGCUAUUUCCAGUCACAAGGAUUGGUUCUUCCUCUCUUCUUGAGCUCUUUCGGAACUCUCUGUUUUCACAUUCCCCUUUGUUGGCUUCUUGUCUAUAAACUGAGAUUUGGAAUCGUCGGCGCCGCUUUGUCCAUCGGUUUUUCGCUUUGGUUAAACGUAGCUUUGCUCUGGGUUUUUAUGAGAGACUCUGCUCUGUAUCGCGAAACUAGUAAUCUUCAGGUGGAAGAAAUCUUCUCGAGCAUGAAGCAGUUCAUCUCUCUUGCGAUUCCCACUGCAAUGAUGACUUGGUAACUAUGUUUUCUCUGUUUCUUGAUUCUGAUUUUCAACUGAUGCUUAAUUCUUGUAUCUCUUUUGGGGUGUAAUUAAAGCCUAGAAUGGUGGUCAUUUGAGCUUCUGUUACUAUUGUCUGGACUCUUACCCAACUCAAAACUUGAAACAUCGGUGAUGUCCAUAUGGUAUGUGCAUAUAUCCCUUUGUAUAAUAUUAUACAGAUGACCACAGGUCAUUAACUCAACUAGAAAGGAACAAUGACUAUUGUAUCAGAGAUCCAAAGUUCCAGUGAAACUAAUAUUACAUGAUGUGGUUUCCACCUGAAGAAUUACGGUUUCGACCUAAAAUAUUUAUAUAUAUACAAAUGACCAUUGUUUAAAUAUUUAACUAAUAUGUGCAACUUUAGUACUUUACUCACUUUAUGUCUUCCUUGAACAGCCUCACAACUUCACUUCUGCAUUAUGUUUUCGUGGAUGCAAUAGGUGCAGCCGCAAGGUAUAGUAACAUUACCAAUUGUUCAUAAGAAUAUAAUUCUUUAUGAAAAUUCUUCUUAACCAUUGUCUUGUUUAUAUAGCACACAUGUCUCAAACGAGCUAGGAGCUGGAAACCCUAAGGCAGCUCGAGCAGCGGCUAAUGCUGCACUUUACCUUGGCGCUUUUGAUGCUUCCUUUGUAUGCAUCACUCUUUACAGUUAUCGAAAACAAUGGGCCUAUAUCUUUAGCAAUGAGGAAGAGGUCGCUAACUAUGCAACAGAAAUAACACCGAUUCUCUGCCUAUCAAUUUUUGUCUGCAGCUUUACCUCCGUGCUCUCAGGUAAGCAAAAGUCAUAUCAAAUGGAAAAACCAUAUGCUGAAAUGAUAGCUUUUGUGAUUGUAUUUGUUACUUGAAAGCCAAGAAACUAAACGUAUAUGUUCUUCGCGAACACUGCAAUUCAUCAUUAACCUUAGGGAUUGCUAGAGGAGUAGGGUGGCAAAGUAUAGCAGGAUAUGCAAGCAUAGGAUCAUAUUAUCUAGUUGGUAUACCGGUUGGUUCAAUCUUAUGUUUUGUUGCGAAAUUGAGAGGAAGAGGACUUUGGAUUGGUAUUUUGAUAGGCUGCUUUGUCCAAACGAUGGUUCUUGCUAAUGUCACUUUUUUCACCAAUUGGGAGCAAGAGGUUUGUAUACCUUUCCUUCUCUAGUUACUUAUCUUCAUCAUUCUCUUAUAAUUAAAGUUAAUUUUUUCUCCAUUGGGCUCCAGGCAACAAAGGUGAGAGACAGAGUACUGGAGAUGACACCAAAAGGAAAUGACGAAACAGAAGUCAUAAAAGAGGAUGCGCAAGUUUUACUAAGUGACAUUUCAGAAAAUGUGUAACCCCAUUUGCAUUUGUUUCUAGUUCACAGAAGCAUUUGUUUAUGAAUCAAAUUAGAAUAUGUUUCUUCAACUGACUAUCGACAAGAGAUUAAAUGAUAAACUGGAAUCUGGGACAAUAAACAUAAAGGAGUGUUAGACAACUUCGGCUCAUAAAUGUUUCUCAUUUUGAUUGCCUCAAAUCUUCCUUAUAUGUACCUGUUCUAGACAAGUAUAUAUAUCAUCUAUGGAGAGAAACACAACAUUGACCUUGAAAAAACCUUGAUAUUUGAAAAAAUUAGACGUAAAAGCAAGUCCAAGCACAAACAAACAGUCUUAUAGUGAUAUUUGCUUCGAACUAGGGUUUGCAGGUAGUCAAGGCUAGAUAGGUGAUAACUGGUAAACCUUAAGUUACUUGAAAAUCAAGAAACAUCUCUGACCCAAAAAGGCUGGAAUAAUGGUGACUGGAAAGAAGACUUUAUAUUUUAAUAAGUCAGGUUUGUAUCAACUGUCCGACAAUAACUGAGAUUCUACUAAGCGUUCUAGUAUUAUAUUCAGACCACUAGGGUCUUUGUUUAAUUUUGUUUUGCAUGUUCUGUAUUUCUCUACUGAUUAUUCGAUCCAUCAGUUUGUAUUGACUUUCCCUGUAACCAUUAUCAACAACAAAAUAAAAAAGUUUGCUCGGACGAUGGAAAGCGGUUUCUCCUUGGCACAGAGAGAAGAAGGAAAUUACAAAAAUGAGAAAUCUGCAGGGAUGAUGAUGAAGAAAGUGAGCUACAUGGCUGCUCCAAUGGUGGCAGUUUCUGUUUCUACGUAUCUCCUUCAAGUUAUCUCCAUGGUUAUGGUCGGUCACUUAGACGAGCUCUCUCUCUCCAGCGUCGCCAUCGCCACUUCUCUUACCAACGUCACUGGCUUCAGCCUCCUCGUAAGAUAUUCCUCUCUCUUUCUCUUUUUCAUCUAACUUGACUAUAGGCCCGGAUCUCGGCAUAACCGAGAGAAACAUUGGUCUUGACUGACAAUUUUUUUAAGUUUUUUACAUAGAUAGAUGCUCCCAAAUAAUGAAACAAAAAAAAAUUAUUAAGAUUUUUAAAAAUGUUUAUUACCCUCAAAAUUUUAUAUCCAGCUUUGCUUGACUUCCGAUCAGUAGGUUGGGUUUUCAGGUGCGUUAGAGACAUUGUGUGGUCAAGCUUUUGGAGCAGAGCAAUACAGAAAGAUUGGUUCAUACACUUACAGCUCAAUGAUAUGUCUUGUCUUGAUUUGUUUCCCAAUCUCUCUUCUUUGGGUUAACAUGGACAAACUCUUCGAGCUUUUCCACCAAGAUCCUUUCAUCUCUGAGUUAGCUUGUAGAUACUCCAUCUGGCUCAUACCGGCUUUAUUCGGAUGCGCUCUUCUUCAGCCUAUGACUCGCUAUUUCCAGUCACAAGGAUUGGUUCUUCCUCUCUUCUUGAGCUCUUUUGGAGCUCUCUGUUUCCACAUUCCCUUUUGUUGGCUUCUUAUCUAUAAACUUAGAUAUGGAAUCGUUGGUGCCGCUUUGUCCAUCGGUGUUUCGCUUUGGUUAAACGUAGCUGUGCUUUGGGUUUUUAUGAGAGACUCUGCUCUGUAUCGUGAAACUAGGAAUCUUGAGCUGCAAGAAAUCUUCUCGAGCAUGAAGCAGUUCAUCUCUCUAGCGAUUCCCUCUGCAAUGAUGAUUUGGUAACUAAGUUUUCUCUGUUUCUUGAUUCUGAUUUUCAACUGAUGCUUAAUUCUUGUAUCUCUUUUGGGGUGUAAUUAAAGCCUAGAAUGGUGGUCAUUUGAGCUUCUGCUACUAUUGUCUGGACUCUUACCCAACUCAAAACUCGAAACAUCGGUGAUGUCCAUAUGGUAUGUGCAUAUAUCCCUUUGUAUAUAUUAUACAAAUGAUCCAUAUGUCACUUACAUUAAUGAUCCAAAAAUAUGUGAUUAGAUCCAAGAUAAAUGAACGAAAGAUGCAUUAUUUAAAAAUUCGUGUUAGGAUAUCCAAGAUCUAAUACUACAUCGGCUAAAAUGCAUCAUUUGUUACAAUUUAAAUUUUCAAUAACGUUUAACCAGUAAUAAUUCAAUUAAUAUUUUAAGUUUACAAUUUCUUUAUAGAAAACAUACAUUUUUUAAUUAAUAUGUCUCCUUGAGCAGCCUCACAACUUCUGGUCUGCAUUACGUUUUAGUGGAUGCAAUAGGUGCAGCCGCAAGGUAUAGCAACAUUACCAAUUGUUCAUAAGAAUAUAUUUUUUUGUGAAAAAUGUUUCUUAACCAUUGUCUUGCUUAUAUAGCACACAUGUCUCAAACGAGCUAGGAGCUGGAAACCCAAAGGCAGCUCGAGCAGCGGCCAAUGCUGCACUUUACCUUGGCGCUUUCGAUGCUUCCUUUGUAUGCAUCACUCUUUACAGUUAUCGAAAAACUUGGGCGUAUAUCUUUAGCAAUGAGGUAGAAGUCGCUCACUAUGCAACAAAACUCACACCGAUUCUCUGCCUAUCAAUCUUUAUCUGCAGCUCUACGGCCGUGCUCUCAGGUAAGCAAGUUAUAUCGAAUGGAAAAACCAUAUGCAGUAAAAUGUAGAGAUGGAGGCUUUUGUGAUUAUAUUUGUAACUUGAAAGCCAAGAAACUAAUGUACACUGCAAUUCAUCAUAUCCUUAGGGAUUGCGAGAGGAGCAGGGUGGCAACGUAUAGCAGGAUAUGCAAGCAUAGGAUCAUAUUAUCUGGUUGGUAUACCUGUGGGUUCAGUCUUAUGUUUUGUUGCGAAAUUGAGAGGGAGAGGACUUUGGAUUGGUAUAUUGUUAGGCUGCUUUUCUCAAACGAUGGUUCUUGCUCUUGUCACUUUUUUCACCAAUUGGGAGCAAGAGGUAUACCUUUCUUUCUCUAGUUACUUAUCUUCAUCAUUUUCUUAUAAUUAAAGUUUUGAAUUUUGUCUCGAUUGGGCUCUAGGCAACGAAGGCGAGGGAUAGAGUAUUGGAGAUGACACCUAAAGGAAACCAAGAAACAGAAAUCAUAAAAGAGGAUGCGCAAGUUCUACUAAGCAAUAUUUCAGAAAAUGUGUAACCCCAUGUCCAUAUGUUUCUGAUUUACACAAGCGUCUGUGUUUCUAGUUCACAUAAGCAUGUGUUUAUGAAUCAAAUAAGAAUAAGGCUUCAGGCAACAAAUUAAAUACGAUAAAGAGAGAGAGAGAGAGAGAGAGAGAGAGUCAGUAGAAACCCUAGCCCGCCGCGUUUCUCCGGCGGCGUUGUCGCUGUGUCGUCGCCGGAGAGUCACCCUUUACCUUCUUUUUUCUCCUUUUUCUUUUGCCUUCGUUAACGUCCCUUCCCCUCAGCGAGAUGCGUGUGAACUCUGGCUUCUUCGGCUCUUCAGAUCUCAGAUCUGGCCGUGUAGUGCGGUUUCCGAGUUUCUGGAGUCACAGCGAGUUGAGUCAGGAAGGUGUCGUUAUCGGAGGUCGGCUUUUAGGGUUGGAUUUUGGAUGGAGCUAUUUUCCCCUUGUCGCUCCGUGUACCUCCGUAGAUGUCUAAUCUGUGCCGUCGUCGCUCUCCUCCGAGCUUCAGUGUUCUUUCGCAGGCGUUAGUGGAUGAGCUCCGGUUGGAUUCGACAUCUGAACCCGUCUUUUCUUCAUUCCGGAAGAACUGAAACUCAUGCUCUUGGAGAUGUUGUUUCGCUCUGUUCCGGCGGCUCGGUUUUGGAGUCAAGACUAGGAACUCGUGAUGGAAGGUCUUGUGUGGCAGUUUACGCACCAGUUUGGUGGGGAACCCGUUUCUGUGUUUGAAAAGAAAUCUGCAACUAAGGUAUCUUCUCAUUAUGUGGUUCUUUUGGCUUGGAAUCCAUAUAAUAAGGCUGGAGUACGACUGAUAUCUGGACGGGACUUGAGGGUGAAGUAUGCGCCUUGGCGUUGAGUUGGUAUGAUCCAAGUUCUGAAUGUCAAUUAAGUGGUGAUCUCCAGCAAGGUCUUAGUUUGGAAUUCAUCUGUUAAGUUUAGUUUUCAGUUUUAGUCAAUGCUCGUGUAAUUAGUGGUUUAAGGGACAGUUCAUUUUCACCAUUUUGGUAAAGUGAAUUUGUUUCCAUGGUGGUCAAAGUGAUAGGUAGUUAGAUGAGGCAAUGUAGGAUCCAAAUAAGUGAUCUUAGAUGAUGCUACAUCUACUUCCAUAUAUCACAUUGUGGUUAAAGCCUCUUGAGGCAUUGUGGUCACAAUUGUUUGUAUCAAAACAUUUGGCUAAUGAUAAGUUGAUGUUGAGUUAAAAAAAAAAAAAAAAGAAUAAGGCUUCAAAUGUUUCCAAGCACACAACAGUUAAUAGUAAAAAAAUCUCUACAUAUAUCUAUGUAUCUAUAUAUUUUUGUUAUUAUUAGUACCACAUUGCAGUUGUUCUGCAAUUGUCCACAUUUUAUCAUUCGGAGCCUAUGUUUUUUGAAUUGACUAUUGACAAGAGUUGAACAAUGAACUGGAAUCUGGAACAAUAAAAUACUAUUAGACAACAAAUAUAUAGCAAACUGAAAUCAUAUUAUUCUGCUCAUAAAUGAUUUUCAUUUUGAUUACAUCGAAUCUUCCUUAUACGUACAUGUUCUAGACAACUAUAUAUUAUUUAUCGAGAGAAAGACAACAUUGACAUGGGGAAAUCCGAUGCCAUCUUCAAAAAUAGCCAAACUCAUUGACAGAAAUAUGACAAAUUGGCUUAUUUCACCUCGAGCAGCUGGAAGGUCGCAAAUACGAUAAGGGGUUGUGUGCGGUUCUCUUGUCAACCACCUGAUCUCAUGAGUCAUGACAACAUCAUCCAAAUCCAACCUUUCAUUUUUGGUUUUAAUUCUGUAUUCGUUGUAUUAUGUUUUUUUCUCCAAAAAAAAUAAGUUUUCUUUCAGCUAUAUGAUGAAGAUAUUGUAAUUCGGCCACCCCAGUUUCCAUCUUUCUUUUUAGAGUUUACCACUCUUAAUUUCUCAAAAAAUUGAAUCUAAACCGUCAAAAUCGAAAGUCGUCACACUAGUAGUUUACAGAAUCUCCAUGAAACAAGAAUAAACUUAAAAACUGAAAAUCUGCUGCAUGAAAUUAGAAGAGUUUAAGUCAUAAUCUCAAUGUGCCUUUAUGAGAUUUCAUUGGCAAUGUAUUAUAUAACCCAACACAAAAAAAGCUUAAAUAAAUCGCGAAGAUUUUUUUUAAUAAUAUCUGUGAUUAAUUGAUCAUCACUUGGUUUAUUCGAUAGUGCAUGUUACAUUUAGCGGAAUUCUGAAGAUGGGUAAGUGUUUUUGUUUUGAAUUAAAAAAAAAAUUGGUUAAAAAUCAUUCAGUAAAUCAAGUAAUCAACUAGUCUCUAACCCUUCGUCUAGGCGUCUAUAUAUUAUAUUGGACGAGUAUCACAUAAUCAUCCAUGAUAUUAUUAUGAUACUUUCUAAAAAUCUCAGUGUCACAGUCACGGUAGUAUUUAGGAAAUUUCUUUGGCAUAUGGAUAAUGGUUGGACCUACCACGGAAAUUUAAGGAAUAUUUGUUACCCAUAUUUGACAAACCUUGUAUCCAAGCAUAACCAAAUCAUAUCUCCUCAACCUUACUCAACCCGAUGUCGAAAAUUCUUUCCCUGCCAAGCAUCUCAGUAACAACCUUAACCCUUCCUAGAUCCAUCCAUAUCCGAAAAACUGUGUGAAAAGAAACUUCGAUUACAACCGUGCCGAUGACCGCCCCCCAAGCAUAACCAAAUCAUAUCUCCUGAACCUUACUCAACCCGAUGUCGAAAAUCCAUCCAUAUCCGAAAAACUGUGUGAAAGAAACUUCGAUUACAACCGUGCCGAUGAGACACGUUUUUUCCUAAAAAAACUUUGAGCAAUAAUUGACAAAAACCGAUUUUUACAUGUGUCUUUUUCAUAUUAGUGAAAUUAUUAUUUCAAUAUUUAAAUUUAAUCAUAAAUAAAUUAUAAUAAUAAAUUAAUAUGAAGAGAAUAACAAAUGCUUAAAGAACUGUCCAUAAGAGAAUUGGUGUUAAUAAUGCCCUUAGAGCACCACUAAUGGAUAUAUAAUUUCACAUAUAAUCUCUAAAUUAGUAUAACAAAUACUUAAAAAACUGUGCACAAGAGACUUGUGUUGAUGAUGCCCUUAGAGUAAUGGAUAUAUAAUUUCACAUAUAGUCUCUAAAAUUUCAAAAAAAGUCUCUAAAUUAAUUUGUAUUGAUAUUUUAAUUGCACUAAGUGAGUUAAUAAAUUUUUUGUGUAAAUUAAAUUGAGCCAAUAAAAAUGGACAAGCGUAAAUACAGUCUCUACAAAAUAGUCUCUUUGCAGAGAAAUGAUUGUGGCAUUUUCUAUAAUCUCCUCCAACUUUUUCUUUUUUAAUUAUAUUUUUUGUUGAAAGACUUCCUUGAGAGAUCAUCACAUACUACUCAUCAAAAUCUUCUUCCUUGACUUUCUCAACUAUUUUCUGACAGUUGGCACUAUAUAUAGUAUCUGGUCCAUCUUGGGUUCUUAAUAAUUAAAGAGUUACUAGACCUUCACCCGCCCGACCGGGCGGGUAUUUAUUUUAUUUUUUUAGUUUUGUUAAGUUUAUAUUAAAUGAUGUAUUUGUAGUAUUUAAACAUAAAUUUAUAUUGAAAUUUAAUCUUUGCAGUUAUAAUAAAAAUUAAAAUUAAAAAUUUAACAAAAUAUUCUGAUAUAAAUUUUAUCCUAAUUAAAAUAAUAUAGAGGUGGGUCAUAAUAUUUUUCCAUUUUCAAAAUCUUAGCAUCCCUUAAAACAAAGAAAAUAAAUUUAUAAAUACAUAAAAUAUAUAAACAUCUUUGGAACUAUAAUAUCUAUUAAAAUAAAUUUGUUAAAGAAAAAUAAUCUUGCGCUGUUGUUGUUUAUUUCUAGAGCUUGAUCCGUGACCGUAUAAAUAUUUGCUUUCACUUUAAAUUUCUUUUUUGUACUAAUGGUAUAUAUAUAUUUGUAAAUUAAAAUGUAAUAAAUAAUUGUUAAUAUAACAUUUUAAAACAUAACAAUUUUAUUUAUUACUUUGAAUAAUUAUAUUUUGUGAUUUUAAUUGUUUAUUAUAUCACAAUGUGUCAUAUAAAAAAUCCAAUAUUUAUAACUAAUUGGACUUAUAUUAUGAAAGCAUUAUACUAAUAAUAUAUGAAUAAAGUAUUUUAUAUUUUAUUUAUAUGUUAUAUAAAUUGAUUAUGAUUUGUUAUUUUUCAUUUUAUUAUUUAUUACUAACAAAUAUUUAAAAUAUUUAAUAUGUUAAUAUAAAAUAUAUUAGGAAAUCUAUUUUGGUUAAGAUUUGAUUAAGGAAAGCUAUUAUUUAAAUUUUAAAAAAGACAUUAAAUGCUUAAAUUUAUUAUUUAAAUUAGGAAAAUACAAGUAUACUUAAAUAUAUGUUCAAUAAAUAUCUCAACUGCAUGCUAAUGUAAAUAAAUGGUAAAAUUAAGGGGUAUUUUUAUUUUGUACUUCUAUUUUAAUAAUAUAAAUUAAGAAUAUAAAACUUUUGUUACACGUUCUAUACCGAUAAUACAUGCUUAUGAAAAGUAAAUUUAUCAUUCUUUGUAUUUUGAAUAAUAUAUAUAGUUAGUUGAGAUAAUAUAAUUAGAUUUUUUUGUUAAAAAAUAGCAUGCAAUAAUCAGAUAUGAUUACUUAAUCGAAUAGUAGUUAAAGAAUAUGAAAUAUACUAAAGGAAUAUGGAGAUUGUAGUAAGUAUGAUAUUAUCUUUGGUUAAUAGAAUUUAACAAAAAAAAAAAAUCUUUGGUUAAUAGAAAUUGAAUUUUGACUGUCCUUGAUUGUUACGUAAAUCUGUUUAGUACAACAUUCAAAUUUGUAUUUUAGCAACAUUUUGUUAAGAUUAUGAAAAUAAUAUUUGUGAGAUCACUUUGGUUAAUUUUAUUCUGUUUUUUUUUUCAGAAAACAUGAUUCCUAUUCCACAUAAAUGUAAUUCAUCAAAAUCACAUCUAAGAUUUUGGCAAAUUCGAGGACUGUUUAACACAAGUAGAAAGAAUGAUUCAAAUCGAUUUGUGAUGAAUGUGAGGUGUCUUGGUUAAUAAUUAUUAUAUGGUAUAGGUUUAACAUCUUAUUUUUGUUUGGCCAAUUUAUUUAAAUUGACAAUUGAUGGAGUUUGUUAAAGUUGUUAAAGCCGGUGGUUUAUUUAAGCUGGUAUAGACGUAAUGUUUGGUAAACAAUCUAAAUUAAUUAAGUGGUUUGAUUUAAGUGAUAAACAUGGUUUAUGUCAGUGGCAUAAAGAGGUAAAUAUUGAGAAAAACUCAGGACUAAGUAUAAAAUGUACUUUCCUUUUAAUAGAUUAGAUUCUUGGGUUCACCCCCUAUGGUGAACCUUUAGAUUCACCAAUCAAUAAAAAAUUGUCAUUUUAGAUCUAGUAUCUUUUAAUUAAGUAAACUAAAUAACUUGGCAAAUUAUAUUAUCUUUUUAAAAUAAAAUUUAAAAAUAAAUAAAAAUAAUAUAUAAAAAACAAAUUCAAAAAAAAAUAAUGUUGUCAACAAAACACUAAACCCUAAACUCUAAUACCAAACCCUAAACUCAAAUCCUAAACCCUAAACCCUUGGGUAAAUUCUAUAUCUUUGGAUAAACCCUAAACCCUUGGAAAAACACUAAACAUGUUGUCAACAAAACACUAAACCCUAAACUCUAAUCCUAAACCCUAAACUCUAAUCCUAAACCCUAAACUCUUGGGAAAAUCCUAAACCCUUGGGUAAACCCUAAACUCUUAGGUAAAUCCUAAACUCUUGGAAAAACACUAAAUAUUUGGAUAAAUUCUAAAUUAUAAAUCUUAAACAUUAAAUUCUAAAUCUUAAAAACAAAUUUUUUUUUUAAAUAAUCUUUUUUAGAACUAUUGUUAUUUUUUUUAUUUAAUCUUUUAUUUUUUAUUUUAAAAGCAUAAUAUAAUUUGGCAAGUUAUUUUGUUUCCUUAAUUAAAAGAUACUAGAUCUAAAAUGACAACUUUUCUAUUGGUUGGUGAACCUAAAGGUUCACUCUAUGGGGUGAACCUAAGAAAAAGUCAUAAUUAAAUCAACCUGAUCUUUUGUAUUUAAAAACAGCUAUUGACAGUUUUAAGAUUUAAUAUAUAUAAAAAAUAUUUAAUAUAUAAAGUUAACACACCCGUGACCAUUUAACCCAAAAAACAACCAAACCAGAUUAGUUUUCCACAAGACAAUGCUGUUUUUUCUUCCAAAUCGUUGAUUUAUGGUCCAAUUUUGAUUCCUUUUGUAAACGUUUAUUUCAUUACAAGUUUGACAAGCCCACGUCGAUCACAAAUAGAAAAAUUCCAAAGAUCGCGAUAUGAGCCUUGUUCAUUAAUUAUUAUUCUUUCCUGAAAAUCCUUGGUCAUUAAUUAUCAUGUCAAAUUUUUAUUGAAAGCCAAACCUUAAUAAGUCAAAAUCAUAUUGGCUUUCGCUACUAGACUCCACAUUUUCUAAAAGAAAAGAGAAGAAGAAAACACACAAUGGAAGAUCCAUUACUGGUAAAUUACAAGAAAGAACAAGAAGUAGAUAAGAUAAGAUGGGAGAAGUUGAAGAAAGUGGCAUCCAUGGCGGCUCCCAUGGUGGUCGUAAACAUAUCUCAAACCCUUCUUCAAGCCACUUCUACAAUGAUUGUCGGCCACAAAAGCGAGAUCUCUCUAGCUGGAAUUGCACUCGCCAGCUCCAUAGCUAAUGUAACCGGGUUCAGUCUCCUCGUAAGUUGAACUUGUACAAACUCAUAACAGAUUAUCCUAUUUAAUCUCCUCUGAUUUAAUUUUAUUACAUACAAUUAUUUGAAUAACAGUCUGGACUAGCGAGCGCAUUAGAAACAUUGUGUGGUCAAGCCUUUGGAGCUCGUCAAUACGAGAAGCUCGGGUCAUAUACUUUCACUUCCAUUAUUUCUCUCCUCAUCAUAUGUUUCCCAAUCUCUCUUCUAUGGAUUUUCAUGAAGAAUCUUUUGUUAUUGUUUCAUCAAGACCCCGAAAUAGCAGAGAUAGCUUCUGUUUACUGCCUUUGGCUCAUACCAGCUUUAUUUGGUUACUCUGUACUUCAAUCUUUGAUUCGCUACUUCCAGACACAAAGCUUGAUUUUUCCUAUGGUUCUGUCUUCUUUAACGGUUCUGUGUUUCCACGUGCCGGUUUGUUGGAUUUUGGUUUACACUUUAGGGCUUGGAACCAAAGGUGCAGCUUUAUCUAUAAGCCUUUCGUAUUGGCUCAAUGCGGUUUUCCUCUGGUUUUUCAUGAGACGUUCUCAACUUUGCGAUGGCAAACGCGUUUUUAUAUCGAUGGAAGCGUUUGGUCACAUGAGGACGUUCUUCUCCUUAGCGGUUCCUUCUGCGUUGAUGAUUUGUCUUGAAUGGUCGGCUUUCGAAAUUUUGAUUCUUAUUUCCGGAGUUUUACCCAACUCAAAGCUGGAGACAUCUGUGAUUUCCAUGUGGUAAUACGAAGUCCUAAUUUUUUUGGCAACACUAUAGUCUCUUUGAAUCCUAUGAUUGUUGCGUAUGACCUAAUGGCUACAUUUUCAUUUGAACAGCGUGACAUCGUCUUCUUUGCACUACAAUCUAGCAACUGCGAUUGGUGCGGCCGCAAGGUCAGUUUGUUUAUUAUAUAACUUGUUUAGAAGAAGAAACAAAAAAACAGUUGCACUUAAAUUUGUAUGGACUUACAACUUAUGAGUAGAUUAUAAUUCUAUAUUUCUUUAUAUAGUAUUGCAUUAUAACUCAUUUUCUUCUCUCAUUAUAUGUAGAUGAUAGGUGUUUUAGUCUACUUCAAAUCAAAUUCCAUUUUAAGAUCGGUAACAUAUCCUAUUCGAGUGCUAAUUUUGGGUUUUAAUAUCAUUUUAAGGUUUAAAAAUAAAGCUGAUUGUCAUUGAGUAGAUUAACUUAUGUUUCUUAACAAUUACUCUAUGUCACAUGUGACUCCUAAUAGGUAUUUCAUUGAAGUAAAACACAUGUGAACAUUAAGGGAAACGUCAAUGAAAUGCAAACAGAGAAUCAAAGUGCUAGUCAGUUUAACUAUUUAUUUUAUUUAUUUAAUUGGAUUUACUUAAAUGUUUUAGCACAAAUGUGGCCAACGAACUAGGAGCUGGAAACCUAAUCGCAGCUAAAGCGUCUGCGUUUGUUGCAAUCAUGAUUGCGGCAGUUGAAUCUUCUUCCGUAAGCGUUGCUCUGUUCAUGUUAAGCAACGUUUGGGGCUACGCUUAUAGUAACGUCCCUGAAGUGAUUCACUACGCGGCAGAAAUCACACCGGUUCUCUGCAUUUCCAUUGUCAUGGACAGCUUGUCAGCCUCACUAACCGGUUAGAAAUCCAUAUUCUCUUUAGUCUUUAUAAACACACGAAGAAAAGAUAUUUUCUAUAUAAACGUCUUGUUUAUUUUUGGUGUAUGUGUUUGAAGGGGUUGUGAGAGGAAGUGGUAAGCAGAAGAUUGGAGCUUAUGUGAAUAUCGCUGCGUUUUAUAUCAUCGGAAUUCCUGUAGGAUUUCUCUUCUGCUUUAUACUUGACUUCAAAGUUAAAGGUCUCUGGAUUGGAGUUCUUACUGGAUGCACUGUGCAAACUAUCACCUUGUUUCUCAUUACUACAUUCACAAAAUGGACCAGUGAGGUAACUGAGGCCUCUAGCUCGACUUAAUAUGCCAAUUAUUGCGGUUGUGUUCCCAUAAAAUUAUUUGUAAAGUCUCAGUUAGUACUUUUAUAUUUAUUUUUGAUUUUUUCUAUCAGUAACAUGCGAAUUUUUUAUUUGAAAAACAAAUAAAACAAUACAAAUAUAUUGUAACAUGUAACUGCGAAACCAAAUUUAAAUGUGAAAGAUGUGUGAUAUCCGCCUCUAUGAAUACCUCCAAGUAUGAGAUAGAUGUAGCAUCCAUUCAUAAAUCUAUAUGGGUUGAGACUUAGGUUAUGAAAAACAAAAAAUGUUAGAUUUAAAUCUAAAAAAAUGUCAGAUCAACAUCAAACUUGUUCACCACGUCAAGAGCACAUAUCUGGUGGUAAUAUACUAGAAGCUUUUAAGAAACAGAUUUACCAAAUGAGAUCAAAAUAUCUACACGACCUUUUGUUGACAUAUUCUCUCAUUUCUUCUCCCAAGAGGGACAUCUUUUUACAACUUUCUAAAUAGAAGAAGUUUAGAAAUUUAAUAUAGAGUUUGAUUGUGUUUCAAAAAGAAAAAAUAAUUAGAGUUUGAUUUGAAAAGCAACUCAUAGAGUUCGUAAGAUCAUGCGUCUUAAUUUUGUUAGACCAAAGGAUCAAACAAAUUGCUCUUCAAAGUUGAAUGGCAGAAUUGGUUCCAUAGCUGCAUACCUUUGAAAAUUUAUUCUACUAUUUUUUUUGUUAGAUGUUUUAUCUUUUACUGCAAAUUUAAUUAUAUAUACUAGCUACAUACCUUUGAAAAUGAAUUUAAAUUUACAAAACAAAACAACUCAUGAUAUUCAGAAGGAGAUAGAGGGAGUAAUGGUUCGAUCUCAUCUCCUCUUUUUGUAAACUCUAUAAGCUACAGAUAAUGGUGAAAUCUUCUAUAUUAUUUAUACAAAAAGAAUUGUUUAGUCAAACUUUCAGAUCUGUAGGUGGGUCUAAUUCCAACUCAUAGUCCUAUAGCCAUAUUUUCUGUUUAGAGCAUGAUUAAUUUAUACUGUACAAUAUGUAAGUAUAGAUCCUAACCCUAAUUUCUGGAUAUAAUUUGAGUUUCAUCAGCUAUGGCCCGUAGUCAGAAAGGAAAUAUGACCUAAAAAUUAGAGUGAUUAAGGGAUAAGGAAAAGAAUGUUAGGGUUAUUGUGGCUUUAAUGAGAUCAUUGGUGAUGGAUGCAAGGAGAAUGUAGCCAAUAGAAGGAUGAAAAAGUUAAAGAGGGAACAAAGAAUCUGAGUGAAACAGUUGCUUAAUUCUUAUCUUAUGCCUCUUCACGAUAAGCAUCUUCGUACUUGUCGCUUCCCUAUAGCUUCUUCCUUAUUCUCCUUUACUUUUUCAACCCUAUCUCCAUUCCUUUUCUAUCAUUCCACUAUUCCCCACUCACACCAUUCUUUUAUUAUAUUUAAUAUUUGCAAUUAUGUUCACAAUUACACAUUUACAUGUAUAUACACACACAUAUAUCUUACAGUUAAUUGUCGUUUUACAACUAUGUUAUAUAUCUACUAAUAAUAGGAAUCCCAAUUAAUUCUAAAGGUUGUGAAUCCACUUAUGUUGAAAGGUUGUGUCUUUUGAAAAAGAAGUGUAAAGGGUUGUGUCUUUUCGAAAAGUUCUAUGUUGUAAGGUUGUGUCUUUUCCAAUUAAUUCCAAAGGUUGCGAAUCCACUUAUGUUGAAAGGUUGUGUCUUUUGAAAAAGAACUGUAAAGGGUUAUGUCUUUUCGAAAAGUUCUAUGUUGUAAGGUUCUGUCUUUUCCAAUUAAUUCCUAAGGUUGUGAAUCCACUUAUGUUGAAAGGUUGUGUCUUUUGAAAAAGAAAUGUAAAAGGUUGUGUCUUUUCUAAAAGUUCUAUGUUGUAAGGUUGUGUCUUUUCCAAUUAAUUCCUAAGAUUGUGAACUUCAGUUAUGUUGAAAGGUUGUGUCUUUUGAAAAAUAUGUGUAGAGGGUUGUGUCUUUUCUAAAAGUUCUAUGCUGUAAGGUUGUGUCCUUCUAAAAAUUGUCUAAAAGUUGUGACUAUUCAUACAAUUUUUAAACACAACAAUUUUAAGCGAAAUGAUAAAAUAUAUAGACUUAAAAAGACAUAAGAUAAAGAUGCAAUUUUUAAAGUCAAAAGUGAUAAUAAACAAAACAAUAUAAUAUAUGUUGAAAAUAUAAAUUAAGAAAAUACAAUUUAAAAAUAAAAUCAGUUAUAAACGAAAAGGUACCUUGAAUGGUUAUAAACGAUAAUGUACCUUAAACAGUCAUGAGCAUAAUUAAAAUGAAAAGACAUGUCCCUAUGAAUUAAUUGGGUUUGCCAACCAUUUAAAUGAAUCAUUGCAAUUGUUUGGAUGAACAUUUACAACUGUUUAAUUGAACUGUUACGACCUUACAUGAUUAAUCAUUGUAAGUUUUGAUCUUCAACCAUUGCAACAUUUAGUUACCUUACAUGAUUAACCAUUGUAAGUUUUGAUCUUCAACCAUUGCAACAUUUAGUUACGAAUCAUUGUAAUUCUAUUAACCAUUGCAAUAGUUGGUGGUUAAGCAUUGCAAUCUUUGGUCUUCUACAUAUAGUAGUUGUGAACAAUGAAAAAAUCAAACAACAAAAAAAUAUCAGAACAAAUAAAAAAUAGAUAAAAAGGAGAAAGAUUCACUGCUCCAAAGGAUCAUAAAAUAUUUUUAUAGGAUAAGACAAAUAAAUUUAUCUUUUCUUUUAAGCAAAUAUACAAAAGAUAUAAACAAAGUUUCCAAGUUUUAUAUGUGUUUGCUCCAAAAUAUUUUAGCAAAAAUCUUUUUACUCUUCAAAUGCUAAUCAAUUAUGGUUCAGAAAUGCAUGUGUGGCAAAAGAUUUAUUAGAAGGAGAUGAAGAGUGGCAUGAUACAAUUAAAAGGCAUCAAUUUGGGACACACGAAAUCAAUUUGUAUUUACCAAUCAUAUUAUUAAUUUACUGGAAAGUUACAAAUUCAUUACAAUUAUGAAAUUCAUAUUGAAAAUAAUCUCCUGAAGACAUAGAGUUCCAGCAGAAAAAUCGGUGAAUUUUUUUUUACAACAAACCCGUGGUUCAUUUCCAAAUGAUAAUUAAUAAUGGUGUUUUAUUAUUUUCUAAAACAACAAAUUUCUAUAUCUAUAAUCGUUAACAAUUCUAUUUCUUCAACCUUAAAAAGUUUAUAAACAUUAAAAAGUUGGUGUUUACAGUUAUAAUAAAAAUGGCAUUACUAAAAUGAUUCUUAAGAUCAGUUACAAAAAACAGAUUCUUAAGAUACAUAAAUUAAGAUAGUAAGAAUAUGUGUUCUAAAGAUGAAGAGUUAUUGUGUCUCACACAAAUGCACCAAGUGCUGUUGAAUCUAUGUACCAGAAGAUAAGAAAAUAAAUAGUGCUUGUUAAGAAAUGAAGAUGAUGAUGGAAUUGAGGUUUAUGGUAAAUGUUAAAAAUUAUAUUUGAUCAAAAAAGUAAACGUUAAUAUAUUAAUCUAAGAGGUGUGUGCAUGCUUAAAAAAUACGAAUGAGGAGUUGCAAGUUAAAGAGACAGUUACAAACUUAACUUCUCUUUAAUUUGUAACCUUCAUUUUGUUAUUAAAUAUUUUUUAUUUAACAUUACUUGUCGAAAACUAAACUGUCAAAAAGUUUAGUCAAUACUUUAUUGUAGUCUAAUAAUCACAUCUCUGUAAUCUCUGAGAAUAUUUUCUAAAAGUGUCUAAAAUGUAUAUUUUCUCUAAAUAAAUAUUAAAGUUGUGAUUUUCAUCAUAUUGUAUCUUUCAUCUUAAAAAUGACAUUAUUUAAAAAAUGUUAUCAAAAUAUAUAAGUAUAUAUCUAUUCAUCUUAACAAUAUGUUUUUCAUUUUAAGAAUUAUGUUCGUGUAGAAGAAGUAGUCAAGUGUAUAAGGAUGUAUCUUUUCAUCUUAAACAUUGCUUUUAUUAAAAAUAAAUUAUCAAAAUGUCAAAAAGUGUAUAUUUUCUCUAAAUAAAUGUCAAAAGUUACAAUUUUUCAUCUUAAAUACAUUUUUUAAAAAUGUUGUCAAAAAUAUAUGAAUAUGUAUCUUCUCUUUUAUAUAAAAUGUGGCAUAUUUUUUCUAAAAUAAAUUCUCGUGCGAUAUCGCACGGGUUUCCUUUCCUAGUACUAAAUAGAGUAAUAUUGUAAGAAAUCAUUAAAACAUAUUUUUUUCUUAAAACUAGCACAUAUAAGAAAAAAAUAUAGAAUAUCAUUUAUUAGUUAAACACUUUUUAUUUUAUAUUUGAGUUUAAAACUUUUUUUAACAUCAAACGACUGAUAUUAUUAAAAGCUUGAUAAUAGGAACAACCAAUGUAAUAAAAAUCUUUAUGAUAAACUUUUGAUAUCUUAUCUAAUGAUCAAUAUGUUGUUUGUUUUCAGAAUGUAGAUGAUAAACAACAGAGAAGUAUACAAAUCUUUUCUUCAGUCUUGAUAUGUCUUGAUAUCUCUUUUAACUCUCUAGACCAAUUUGACAAUGUUUUUUGUUCUUGUAUCAUCGAAAUUAUGUCUUUGCCGCAAUCAGUUCCAAAGUGUUGGCACAUCAAUAUUUGCAGCAUAUAUUCCAUAACCCCAAAAAAAACUCAAGGUCUACAUGUAUAGAGAUUAUUGAUUAGUGUUUAAGCUAGCAUUUUAGAAAUUAGUCAUUUAAUCCUUUAAUAAAUACUAUUCUAAGAUUUUUUUUCAUUUAUAUGCUACGUUGUCAUAAAUAUUUUUAUAUGCUAUCUAAGAGAUUUUUCCACGUAGAGAAAUGUCACAUUUCGACCCUACUCUUUUCAAAUUUAUAUUUGCUAGUUUUUUUGGGAACUAAGUCUAUUAUAUUCUCAAGGUUGAGUGGUUUUUGUUUUGGUUUAACAAUAAAUACGAUUAAGAGAACUAAGUAGAGCCAGUUACCUUUGUUUCUUACACAUGUAGUUCUAUCAUUCAGCUAUAUAACAAUUACUUUUAGUUGGUUCUAAAAAUUCAAUGUAAAUAUUUAUCGACAGACUUGUGGCUUUGGUCAAGCAUAAGCAUAGGACAGAGCAAAGUAUCCAUAAUAUUUGAUACGUUUAUAUUCGAACUAAAAACUCGGAUAUUCGUAACUCUACGAAACAAAAUAAAUACUUUUAUAUGCAAUAUAUGUUAAAAACAACAUGAAUUACAAAUACUAUUAUUUCUAGGAAAAUAUAUUCAGUCGGAUCCAUUAUAUAUAUAUAUGUAAAUCAUAGUUAUCAUAUUUAAUGUAAGUUUACAAUAUGUUUAAUUAUUAAAUUGAUUAUUUUAGCUAUGGGGAUUUUAAUAUGUACCAAAUUAUUAUUAUGUUAUAUUAUAUAUUUAUUUUUUAAUUUUUAUUUUAUUUAUACGAUUGAAUUAGAUAUCCAGUAAAAUAUAAAAUUUUUUAAUAUCCAAACACUGAAUAUUCAGAUAAAUAUGAAUCAGAUCGAAUCGAAAAAUAAAUUGAUUAUUCAGAUAAAAUAUCGGAUUUGAUUUACGAAUAUUUACAAAAACUUAGAUAUAUGACUCGUGUCUAUUACUCAAGCCAGCAUCGCACAUGUAAUCUUAUUAUCUCUACAGAAAUCUAGAAACAAUUCUGCCUGAGUGAAGAAUAUAUAAAUGUAUGUAUCUAAAAAGAAAACAGAUAAAAGUAUACUCCUUGAUUAGAUGCAGUGCAUUAACCUUUUUGUGACUGUACGCCAAUUGUGUACCCAAAUUCACGGUCUUUUGUCCCAAGUAAAGAUAUGAUUGGAUAUAGCAGCUUUUUUUAUUGUUUUGCCAAUUACAACGCGACGCAUGGUUCAUGGACGUAACAGACACCAUUAAUAAAUAUUAAAUAAUAACUAAACUAGUUGCUGCGCUGAUAAAAAAAAAGUUAGGUUUAUACGGGAAAAAUGUCGAAAAUAUAUUAAGUCUGUAUAAUUAGUCGCGUAGUAUGCAAAGUUUAUUAUUCGUCAAAUAAUUACGAAGUUUGCAUUGACUGAGUUAUUUUAAAUAUGAACAUAGUUAACGUGAAUUAUAUUUUUCUUAUUCUUCAUGUAUAGUUUACAAGAUCGAAAAUCCCAAGUUCCUUCACUAACACUAGAUCUCCAACUUCGUUUCUCAAAAAUUACAACUGUUGAACAAUAGAGUUCAUAUAAAUUAAGUUCUCAUAAAAAUUAAUCUUUACCCAAAUAUAUCCUGAAGUCCUGAUCUCGAGCUAAUAAGGGAGAGAGAAGAGAUCGAGUUAGGUGUUGGUGAGAGGCACAGGGAAGUUGGCACUGUUCAUAACGGCCAUAUAUGGCACUGUUCAUGUUGCCUAUCCCUAAUCUAAAAUAGCUCAGCCAAAGUAAAUUUUGUGAUUUAUUUAGGACUAGGAUAUUAGGCAGAUUGGCCAAGUUUAAAGAAAAUUUUAAUCAUUUUUUGUGCUUAAUUUGAGAUGCUUGUUACGAAGAAGAUCUCUAUUGGAAACACAUAUACACACACAUUAUAAUAUAAAUGUACCCUUUUAGGUAAAGAUUAAUUUUUUCAGUGACAAAAAAAAAGAAGGUAAAGAUUAAUUUUUUUUCUUUUGGGUAAACCUAAAGAUUAAUUUUACGGAGCAAUAAUUUAAAUUUGAUAUCUUAGGGUUCUUCAACUCUCGUUCAGUCAUUCGGUGAGCCCAAGUGUUCCCUGGAAUAUAGCUUUGAAGACUCUAGAGUUGGUUUCCAUCCACAGAAUCUCAACUUAUCGUAGUGACAAAGUGACAAGACUUUUAUGCUUCAUCUUUCACUUGAAACCAUGUUUUUGCAUUAAAAUUAUUUAAAUCCGGUUCUCUUUUGUAUUUCUAAAGUUCUGUGUGUGGAUUUGGCACUUAUAUAUAGAAAAAAGCGUGUAAUAACAUAAGGCUGGAAUUGGAUAUUUCGCAUGGUGAUAAGGUUCAAGAUUUUUUGAAUAAGUUAUUUAACGAAAAUUUUAAAAGAUAAAGUUAAACAAAAAUCAAAUGUUGAACUGUUGAAGUGGAAGCGACUCUUGCAGUAAUACAAAAGAGAACUAGGCUAGUUCCUGCGUCGUUCACUGGUCUGUAAAGUUUGGUCGUCGGUCAAAAAGAAACAACUGAUAAUAGUAUUAUACUAAUACUUUUUUUUUUGUAACACAAUAGUAUUAUAAUACUAUAAAUGGAUUCUCGAACAUGAUGCAAAUCACCUGUAGUUUUGGUGGCUUUAAAUCAGUUGAGAAACUAUGACCAACCAAUUACUUUCGAAAGGUGUAAUGGAAUUAAACUAGGGAUGGUCGAUGUGAUUGAGACUAAUUUCUCAAUGUGGAAUGUGACAAAAAGAUCUGUCUCCAGAAACCUCCAACCAACUAGCAUGCUUAUUAGCCUUUCUUAGGCAUACGGAAUUUAGACAUAAAAUUCUUACUAGUACGUGCGCAUGUAGAGGAACCUUCAAUGGUGCCAACUACCAAGACUAUGAUAUCUCCGUUCCCAAAUACAAAGAUUAAUCAUAUAAAAGUUGAAGUACCAAUGUGCACAAAAAAAGAAGUACCAACAAAUAUAGACAAACACGGAAACUAUUAUGAAUAAGUUCUUAAAUAAUUCAUAACUUUUUACCUGUAUUUAUUUUGCAAUUGUAUAUUAGCUUUUGUUUGUUAUAGAUGAAGGGGCUGAACUGAUAAUUUUAGCCUCCCGUACUAUAGUAUCGUACAAGGUUAACAAUAAUAUUUUUAAAUUUUAGCAUACUAUUUAUAUUUGUAAGAUAAAUAUUUUAUAUAUUUGUAUACUUGUACAUAGACAUUUGGUUUGUAAGAUUCUCUCCAAUAUUUUAACAUGUGACAAGAUUUGUUUGGCUAAUGUGAUAGAAGUAUGAAAUGUUUAUAGGGAACCCUAAAACUUUGAUCAAAUUUAGAUUUAGUCCAACUCAAUAAUUGGAUUAUUUACAUGUACUUAUGUAAAACUAAUAUUAUAUUCACUAUGUGCUAUCUUUUUUUAUUAUUGCUCUCGAUAUAAACAAUUUUUUUGUUGUUCAAGAAUCAAAGAUAAAUUUAUAUAUGGUGUUAUCAAAGUUUUCUCUUCAAAUUACCUAGCUAAAAUAGUAUUAUAUAAAUGUUGGUAUUAUAAAAUGUAAUGUUGGAUCGAUUUUGAACGACGAUUAUAUCAAACUGUUUGUGGUUUAGUGGUUAUAUAAAGAUGUUAAUUCCUUUGUGUUUUGAAUUCAAACCUUCUCUAAUACGGUGUUCUAUUUUUUUUAAUUCGGAUUUCCAUAAUUGAUUAUAAAUCUAAAAUAUAUUAUGAGCCUAAGAUUUAGAAUUCGUACAUUAUUUAAGAAGUUGGUUGUAUAAAAUGUGAUGUUGGAUCGUUUUCCCAGCGGCAUGUAGUUGAUGAUAAGGGAUCAAUACCGAUCAGUGCUAUUGUAUAAAGGUUAGACUGAUUUCUACAGUUACAUAUACUGUUACUGGAGUUCAGCAAGCCUUCAUGGUUAUGCCUUGACGUGAUGCAAGCUUCACGAAUUAGCCAAGAUUUUAAACGAACGCCUUGGUAAGUUUUUUACAUCUUUGGAUCAUGUUGUCCAGGGGCGGACCUAGGUGAGCACUAGGUGUGGCAAGAGGACCUAGGUGAGCACUAGGUGUGGCAAGAGGACCUAGGUGAGCACUAGGUGAGGCAAGAGCCACAUACAAAAUUUUAAAUUUUCAUUAGUUGUAUUGUAAAUUGAGGAACUCAAAGGGCUUAAUCAAUCUCCUAUGCCCCAUUCUUUUUCGAUUGAAAUUUUUGUUAAUUACUAUGGUGUGCCCCAUGUUGCAAUGCUUACUAGAUCCUCCCUGGUUGUCCGCCAUCCAAGAUCAAAAUAAUUUAUAGGAUUUGAAGAAACAUUUGUUGUGUAUCUUUUUCCAAGGCAUUGGUUAAAAAUAAGGAUAAGAGC